rnacentral:rRNA from 1 species
UACGUAGGGUGCGAGCGUUGUCCGGAAUUACUGGGCGUAAAGAGCUCGUAGGUGGUUUUGUCGCGUUGUCCGUGAAAAACUCACAACUCAAUUGUGGGCGUGCGGGCGAUACGGGCAGACUGGAGUACUGCAGGGGAGACUGGAAUUCCUGGUGUAGCGGUGGAAUGCGCAGAUAUCAGGAGGAACACCGGUGGCGAAGGCGGGUCUCUGGGCAGUAACUGACGCUGAGGAGCGAAAGCGUGGGAGCGAACAGG